rnacentral:sRNA from 1 species
GACUGCUAAAGAAGCUUUGGAAGUUGC